ACCCAAGCUGUCCUCCUGCCUCAACCUCCCAAAGUGCUGAGAUUAUAGGCAUGAGCCACUGUCCCUGGCCUAUAGCGGUCAUUUUUUAAAAAGGUAUUUUAAAAUUAAAAGCAAACAACAUCUUCCGCCCAUCCACCUGUCCAGGAUAAGGCAUAUUUGGACAGUGAACAGAUUGAACUCUCUUGAAUGCAUUUGAGCUCUUCACCGAAGAGCCUUUCUUGCUCCAGGCAUGACAUUGUUUUCACCAGAUGUUCACUGACUUCGUGCCUUUGAGGUGAGACAUGGGGUCUCUUAGAAGCGUCUCUGCAUCUGCAUUUCAGGAGAUGAGCUGCUGUCCCUGGUGGACAGAGGCGGCCUCUGUCAUGGUCACCAUGAUGACCUACAAGUGUUUAUUGAGUCCCUUGGGGCACCCAGAAUACCACCCAGAAUAGCAAGAAGACCCAGUCCCCGCCUUGCAGAGGAUGCACUCACACCCCACAGCAACCCAUUCUCGCCUCUUCCUUGGCCAGGAACCCAGGGCUCCAGGACUGCCCGCUGUUGCUGUGUCCUGCACAGCCACAGGAGGCUUCCUGAAAUGCAUUGCUCGGAGGCGGGAGCGGGGAGGCCUGGCCUGCCCCACAGACACAGCUGUGCAGCCUGGGUCGUACACACAUCGGCAAGCAGCUGCUGAGACAAAUAGUGGUGGGAAGUCCUGGGGACACACAGCCUUUGCAUUGACAGCAUAGUAGGAUCAGAGCCCAGGUGAGCCCCUGAGGAUACCAAGGCCUUCCCUUCCUGAAGCCGGGAAAUCUCCAUGCCUCUCGUAGGAGCCUGGCCCCACUGUAGAAAUCCCUCCUCUUCCUCCACACCCUGUCCUUUCCCCAAAGCCUCGGUUGUCAGUUCCAGCUACCCAUCGACUUCCCCACUGAGCCGCUGCCCUCAAAACAGAGGGGGCACUGCAACCUCCUUGAGCCUGGCAUCCCAGGCCUUGCCAAAGGGGACGGUGGCUUCCUGGAUAAUCAGAAAUCUCUGAGAAAAAGAAGAAACGCCUGAGUGACACUCAGCUGUCCUCUGAGGUCCCCUGGUGUGCAUGCACAUCCUUCUGAAUACCUGUAUUUCCAAGAGGUGGUCUCCUGUUUUCAUAACCCGACACUCUGAGAUGGGAUCUUCGAACUUUUUAGCCCUGGCUGUGGAAAGAGAGGAGAUUUGGACAUUAAUGAAUGGAAACUUCCAUGGUGGUGGUCACUCCUGAAGGCAGCGGCUUCCAUUCUCCCACUGCUCUAACUCUGUGUGUUCCGUCUACCAUGUCACAGUGCCGCUGGAUCUAGAUGGAACCACUCUUGUUGUUUUUAAGAGAAAUAAAUUCCUUAAUUGAAAUAGCA